rnacentral:rRNA from 1 species
GACGAACGCUGGCGGCGUGCCUAACACAUGCAAGUCGAGCGGGGAGAGAUUUUCGGAUUUCUCUUUAGCGGCGGACGGGUGAGUAACACGUGGGUAACCUGCCUCAAAGAGGGGGAUAGCCUUCCGACAGGAAGAUUAAUACCGCAUAAUAUCAGGAAGCUGCAUGGCAUCAUGAUUAAAGGGGCAACCCGCUUUGAGAUGGACCCGCGGCGCAUUAGCUAGUUGGUGAGGUAACGGCACACCAAGGAGACGAUGCGUAGCCGAACUGAGAGGGUGAUCGGCCACAUUGGAACUGAGACACGGUCCAGACUCCUACGGGAGGCAGCAGUGGGGAAUAUUGCACAAUGGGGGAAACCCUGAUGCAGCAACGCCGCGUGAGUGAUGAAGGCCUUCGGGUCGUAAAGCUCUUUGAUCAGGGACGAUAAUGACGGUACCGGAAAAACAAGCCACGGCUAACUACGUGCCAGCCGCCGCAGUAACAC